AGAGUUUGAUCCUGGCUCAGGAUGAACGCUGGCGGCGUGCCUAAUACAUGCAAGUCGAACGAUACUCUUGGAGCAAUCUAGGAGGAAAGUGGCGAACGGGUGAGUAACACGUAGCUGACCUGCCCUUCAGCGGGGGACAACGACUGGAAACGGUCGCUAAUACCGCGUACGCUUGAGGUGUUUAGAAAGCCUCAAGGAAAGCCUGCAAGGGCGCUGAAGGAGGGAGCUGCGGGCCAUCAGGUAGUUGGUGGGGUAACGGCCUACCAAGCCAACGACGGAUAGGGGGCCUGAGAGGGUGACCCCCCACACUGGAACUGAGAGACGGUCCAGACUCCUACGGGAGGCAGCAGUAAGGGAUAUUGCGACAAUGGGCGAAAGCCUGACGCAGCAACGCCGCGUGAGGGAUGACGGCCUUCGGGUUGUAAACCUCUUUUCAGGGUGAAGAGGAAGGACGGUAGCCCUGGAAUAAGUCUCGGCUAACUACGUGCCAGCAGCCGCGGUAAAACGUAGGAGGCGAGCGUUAUCCGGAUUUACUGGGUGUAAAGCGCGUGCAGGCGGUGGUCUAAGUGGUGUGUGAAAGCGCCCGGCUUAACCGGGCGAGGCCGCAUUAGACUGGACCACUUGAGGCAGGUAGAGGCGUGUGGAACUCCGGGUGUAGUGGUGAAAUGCGUAGAUAUCCGGAGGAACACCAGUGGCGAAGGCGACACGCUGGGCCUGGCCUGACGCUCAGACGCGAAAGCAUGGGGAGCGAACGGGAUUAGAAACCCCGGUAGUCCAUGCUGUAAACGAUGCGGACUAGGUGUGGUGAGGUUGAAAACUUGCCGUGCCGAAGCUAACGCGAUAAGUCCGCCACCUGGGGACUACGGCCGCAAGGUUAAAACUCAAAGGAAUUGACGGGGGCCCGCACAAGCAGCGGAGCGUGUGGUUUAAUUCGAGCCUACACGAAGAACCUUACCUGGGUUUGACAUCAUGGUGGUAGCGAACCGAAAGGGGAGCGACCUUCGGGAGCCAUGACAGGUGCUGCAUGGCUGUCGUCAGCUCGUGUCGUGAGAUGUUCGGUUAAGUCCGGUAACGAGCGCAACCCUCAGGUUCAGUUACAGGUGUCUGAACCGACUGCCCGUAGAAAGCGGGAGGAAGGUGGGGAUGACGUCAAGUCAGCAUGACCUUGAUGCCCAGGGCUACACACACGCUACAAUGGCCAGCACAAUGGGUAGCCAACCCGCGAGGGGGAGCCAAUCUUAGCAAAGCUGGUCUCAGUUCGGAUUGCAGGCUGCAACCCGCCUGCAUGAAGUCGGAGUUGCUAGUAACCGCAGGUCAGCUAUACUGCGGUGAAUACGUUCCCGGGCCUUGUACACACCGCCCGUCACGUCAUGGGAGCUGGUCACGCCUGAAGUCGGUGGGCUAACCGCAAGGGGGCAACCGCCUAAGGCAGGGCUGGUGACUGGGACGAAGUCGUAACAAGGUA
rnacentral:rRNA from 1 species